rnacentral:rRNA from 1 species
CGUAGGUGGAUAUUAAAAAAUAUAGUAAAAGACUGAGGUUCGCCCUCUUUAAUCUAUAUUCACUGGAUAUUUGAGUUCUGGAGGCGGUUUAUUGAAUUCUUGAAGGAAGGGUGAAAUCUGUUGAUAUCUGGAAGACAUUCGAAAGCGAAAGCAGUAACCGAUUCGGAUCUGACACUAGGUACUAAAGUAUGGGGAUAAAUAGGAUUAGAGACCUAGUAGUCCAUACCUUAACAAUGAGUGUUCAACAUCUUUUAGUAAAAUUACUAUCUGGGGUUUAAAGCUAACGCGUAAAACACCGCCUGGGGAAUGUGGCCGCAAGGUCUAAACUCAAAGGAAUUGACGGAGACUUAAACAAGG